UUGCAAGAAUGGCUUCCUGUUUCAUCUCUGUCCCUGCUCUGUGAGAGAUGAAACCUUACUGCUGUGCGUAAUACACAAACUAAACACGCAGAACCGGACAUAGAGGGUUCGAGGGCGGCGCAGCGGUGCCCGAGGGCUCGCCAUGCUGCUGUCUCAGCUGCCAGAGGAUCUUCUCUAUUAUAUCUUAUCUUAUUUGGACUACAGAUCUCUCAGUCGCCUCUCUCAAGUUUGUAGAAGCUUUUACCGCUUUGUAAACCGGGACGCUGUUUGGAAGAAGAUUGCUAAAGAUCUUUUAAACACCGGCAUUACUCGGGAGGGGAAGGACAUAUAUCCUCUCAUACGCCUCAAGGACAGAGUGAAGAUUGCUCAAAACUGGUACAGCGGGAUCUGCAGAAGAAGAAUUCCUCUGAGAUGGAAAACUAAACUGUUACCAUGGUUACAGCUGGACGGGGACACCCUUUUUCUGUCUCAGGCUGCUGAUAUAAAAGUGUACCAUAUCCACAAAGACUCGGGGAGACUCCAGCGUAGUCCAUAUGAAGUCUACUCGGGCCACAAGGGUGACGUCUGUCGCUUUGUUCUCACGGAUUCUCUCCUGAUCAGCGGUGGAAGUGAUGGGAAGAUCGUCGUCCACAGCAGGAGAAGUGAUGUGCCAGUGGAGUUUUCAGGUCAUAACCAGGAGGUCAACUGUGUGGAUGCUAAAGACGGACUCAUCAUCAGUGGCUCCAGAGACCGGACAGCCCGGAUUUGGAAUUUGACUUCCACCGCUCCCAGAGAUACAAUUCCCAUGUGUGACAGAGUGUGGUCCGUGGCUAUUAAUCCCACACUGAGCUCCUUCGUCACAGGCACUGCAUGCUGCGAGAACUUCUCCCCUCUCCGCAUCUGGGAUGUUGAGCGAUCUACAGAUUUGGGAUUAGCUACAGGCUCCUCCACCCCUGCUGGCUCUUCUGUCCUGCCCAGGAUGGCGCCCCCGGUGCCCCCUCGUCAGGUCCAGCAGUCCUACCGUCCAUCCAACAGCUCCUUCUCCCCUCUUACAGCCUCUAUGGGAGCUCCAUCUGUGGUGGCUACAGCCUGGGAGUAUACAGACACACACCUCACCUUGAAGACGUCCCCCCCAGCAGACACUAACUGGGCGAGCGAGGAGGACGACCACGUGGUGGCCAGAGGAGAAUAUGACUUGACAGCUGCUUCUCAGGAGGAGCUUUCUAUGCGAGCUGGAGAGAUGCUCAACCUCGCUCCUAAAGAGCUACAGCCCCGUGUGCGUGGCUGGCUCCUGGCCAGUGUGGACGGUGAGACCACAGGCUCGUCCCAGCCAACUACGUUAAGAUCCUCAGCAAGAGAAGAGACCGCCGGGCCACAGAUAUGAGAGGCUCGCUCAGGCCCAGCAGGCAAACACGCAGGCACCCCAAACAACCUCGUCUGCACAAAUACCCUAAUCUGUGCCUCUCCUGCAGCCCAUAAAUGUACAGCAUCUACCCACAUCAUGUACAGUACUUGAAUGAUCCAGCUCGUCUUUCAGCUCAGUCUCGUCAGAUUCAUUAGGCUCAGCUGUGUCCCCCUCCUGUGUUAUUAUUCAGUCUGUACAUCGAAUAGAAGGCACUAACCACAAGGUGAUCUUCAAUGCAUCUCUGUGUUAAUGCGAACAAGCUCUGGGGGAUCAUCAAACAGGGGUACAAAUGCAAAGACUGUGGUGUUAACUGUCAUAAACAAUGCCGUGAGCUGCUGGUUCUGGCCUGUAGGAAGCUGAUUGGCUCUGGCUCUCUGGGCAGUGUUUCUCCAGCUCACUGCCCAGCAGCCUGUCAAGAUGAGGACGAGGUGUUUGAGUUCCCCGCUGUCACACCAGCAGUUCCAGCUCUCGACACUCAGUCCAUCACCCUGAUGACGGGCUCAGCCCAGAGAAUCUCUGUGCGCCUGCAGAGAGCCACCACAAGCCAGGCUACGCAGACUGAACCACUGUGGCCUGAACAUGGCUGGGAGGUGGCAGACGGUGGUGCCCACACCUUCCCCAAAAUGAAAUACAUGACUCACAGGAAAAUGUCUAAAAAUAAGGGUUUCGUCUGCUGGGAAAACCAGAGUGGCAGGCAGUACCAGGCAGGUUCUGCACCGCACUGCACUGGAAGGAGUGUAGACUCCCAGGAGAAGCCAGACGUCUCUGUAGAGCAUGUACAGAACAGGGUUACGCACAGAGCAAAGAACAGCUGACUUGGUUACAGUGGCGAGAACCGCUUGUGGAGAUCCAGAAAGCCCCUAGUCGCUAAGACCAGGAGCUUCUUCUCUCAGGGGGAUAUUCUUGGCUUUCUGAGGUCCCCCUUCAAAAACAUGGAGUCAUCAUGUCCUCUCUAGACUUCAGCACAAUACAGACAGAGCGACAUGGAGCUGAAGUCAGGGAGAAGAGCUCUAUAACAUACAGUGUGUUAGCUCCGGGCAGAAAGACACAAAGAUGAAGGUUUUUCCUUAUGGAUUGUUGGCCAGUUGCUUUACAUCGUCAAGCUUUCAAAUGGAGCUCAGGAAGAAUGUGAACAGAAAUGAUCUGGUGUUGGAUUUUAAUAAAGAGAUGCAACAUCAAGGUCCUGAUGUCACAUGAUCAUAGCAAGGGGAAUUUUUUGGAUGCUUGUAUGUGUAGGUGGAAAUAAAAGGAAACAGAACCUGAAUGUAAAGGGAAACCAACAGAACAUCUAGCACAAAGACUCAUGAAAUAGCAUUUCUAUAGUGACAGCUGCAGAGCGGGCCACCUUCAUUUUAUCUUGCAGGGUUUUUUCAGCAAAAAAAUGCUGCAGACAACCUCAAUCAUUCUGUUGUGAUCUCUCUCUCCCAUCAUUGAUCUUUUAUCAAUGAUGAUAAAAACACUUUUUACAAAUGCUGUACACCAUCAAGUGUGGAAGGUUUGACAAGUAUGCGUUGAGAUUUGUGUUUUCCU